AUUGAACGCUGGCGGCAUGCUUUACACAUGCAAGUCGAACGGUAACAGGCCGCAAGGUGCUGACGAGUGGCGAACGGGUGAGUAAUGCAUCGGAACGUGCCCAGUCGUGGGGGAUAACUACUCGAAAGAGUAGCUAAUACCGCAUACGAUCUAUGGAUGAAAGCGGGGGACCGUAAGGCCUCGCGCGAUUGGAGCGGCCGAUGUCAGAUUAGGUAGUUGGUGGGGUAAAGGCUCACCAAGCCAACGAUCUGUAGCUGGUCUGAGAGGACGACCAGCCACACGGGGACUGAGACACGGCCCAGACUCCUACGGGAGGCAGCAGUGGGGAAUUUUGGACAAUGGGGGCAAGCCUGAUCCAGCAAUGCCGCGUGCAGGAAGAAGGCCUUCGGGUUGUAAACUGCUUUUGUACGGAACGAAACGGCUCUGGUUAAUACCCGGGGCUAAUGACGGUACCGGAAGAAUAAGCACCGGCUAACUACGUG
rnacentral:rRNA from 1 species